UACGUAGGGUGCAAGCGUUGUCCGGAAUUAUUGGGCGUAAAGAGCUCGUAGGCGGUCUGUCGCGUCUGCUGUGAAAACUCAGGGCUUAACCCUGAGCUUGCAGUGGGUACGGGCAGACUAGAGUGCGGUAGGGGAGAUUGGAAUUCCUGGUGUAGCGGUGGAAUGCGCAGAUAUCAGGAGGAACACCGAUGGCGAAGGCAGAUCUCUGGGCCGUAACUGACGCUGAGGAGCGAAAGCGUGGGGAGCGAACAGG
rnacentral:rRNA from 1 species